CAGCCUCUGAAUAAAAUUUUAGGAGAAAAAUAAAAAAAAAAGCGGUGUUUUUGGCGUUUGUUUAUCCCUGUCUUUUCUCUUUCCGUCAUCGAGGAAGAAACUCGUCAUACAUCCAUCGAUGAUUCGGGAAACCCAAGCAGGAGUCUAAUCUUAAUGAGGAACCGGUGGUACAGAGACGGGACAAGACAAGGGCGUGUCGGCUAAAUAAUAUCUGACGGAUAAACUGAGUCCGGGAGAGGAAGAUAAGGUUUUGUCAGAGGUGGUCGCUGAAAAGCUUCAUCAUGGUGGAGAAGAAACGGGGCCGGCGAAGAAGGGGAUAGUGACACAAUUGGAGGAGGUGGAGAAAAGGCUAGGAGGAUUUAAGGAUCCGAGCUCGGAAGCACCUAUGAAACACGGCAAAGCUUAUGCGGAUGAAGGCGAAGGAGGGAUGGUGGAGAAGCUGAGUGGAGCUGUUACUUCUUGGCUCGCUGGUACGACCGAGGAAGUGACACAAAAGGCUACACAGUCUGUUCAGGACUCUUCACAGUCACUUGGCGCCAUCGUUGAUGUUUAAGCAGAUACUUGGGAAGCUCCCAAAGAAACCUUCUGCCAAGUUUUGGGAUAAUGGUGAAUCCCAAACUGCAGAUAACAACAAUAAUCAAGGACGAGGUGAUGAAGCUUUGAGUCAGAGAUCAAACGGAGAUAACACUGAUUGUGUUUCUUUUGAUGUGUUGCCAAGGUUGAGAGAUGUAUCAAUCUCUGAGAAGCAAGAACUGUUUCUUAAGAAGCUUAGACUUUGCUGUGUAGUGUUUGAUUUCGCCGUGGAGCCAACCAAAAACCUCAAGGAGAAAGAUCAAAGGGCAAACACUUCUUGAAGUGUGGAUUAUGUUAUCACUUCUUGAAUUUAUCAUACUAUUAUAAUUUCCAAAAUAAUAAGGAGGGUGUAUUGAAUCUGAUAUUUUAGGAGAUUUGCUGAGAUUUUAAUAUUUUGGAAUUUUGGGAGAUUUAAGUGUAAUUUUGGGAAAUUUUGA